UAAUAAGUGUUCUACUGCACUUUUUAAAAAUAGUACUCACCUUGUGUGCAAUGUUGUGUGGAAUUCCUACUUUCGAGUGAGAAUUUCACACCUACACCAACCUAUAAACUUGAAAUACUUUGUCUGAAAAACUAUUAUGAAUACUUAAUUCAAAAUACAACUUUCAACAACGGAUCUCUUGGCUCUCGCAUCGAUGAAGAACGCAGCGAAAUGCGAUACGUAAUGUGAAUUGCAGAAUUCAGUGAAUCAUCGAAUCUUUGAACGCACAUUGCACUCUCUGGUAUUCCGGAGAGUAUGCUUGUUUGAGUAUCAGUAAACACCUCAAAUCUCGACAUUCGUGUUGAGAAUUGGACUUGAGCAAUCCCAACUCUUUGCAAAAAGAGGCGGGCUGCUUGAAAUGCAGGUGCAGCUGGACAUUCUUCUGAGCUAAAAGCAUAUUUAUUUAGUCCCGUCAAACGGAUUAUUACUUUUGCUCUAGCUAACAUAAAGGUUGAAUGUACUACGUGCUGACUGAUGCAGGAUUACCGAGUUUCCGUCAAAAGAAACUUGUAAACUCGAUCUCAAAUCAAGUAAGACUACCCGCUGAACUUAAGCAUA
rnacentral:sRNA from 1 species